UACGAGGGGGGCAAGCGUUGUUCGGAAUUAUUGGGCGUAAAGGGUGCGUAGGCGGUCUGACAAGUCUGAUGUGAAAUCUCUGGGCUCAACUCAGAGUCUGCCAUAGAAACUGUAGUGCUAGAGUGUGGGAGAGGUGAGUGGAAUUCCCGGUGUAGCGGUGGAAUGCGCAGAUAUCAGGAGGAACACCGGUGGCGAAGGCGGGUCUCUGGGCAGUAACUGACGCUGAGGAGCGAAAGCGUGGGGAGCGAACAGG
rnacentral:rRNA from 1 species